GAUGAACGCUGGCGGUAUGCUUAACACAUGCAAGUCGAACGGACUCUUCGGAGUUAGUGGCGGACGGGUGAGUAACGCGUGAGAAUCUGGCUUUGGGUUCGGGACAACCACUGGAAACGGUGGCUAAUACCGGAUGUGCCGAGAGGUAAAAGAGAAAUUGCCUGAAGAUGAGCUCGCGUCUGAUUAGCUAGUUGGUGAGGUAAAGGCUCACCAAGGCAGCGAUCAGUAGCUGGUCUGAGAGGAUGACCAGCCACACUGGGACUGAGACACGGCCCAGACUCCUACGGGAGGCAGCAGGGGGGAAUUUUCCGCAAGGGGCGAAAGCCUGACGGAGCAAUACCGCGUGAGGGAAGAAGGCUCUUGGGGUGUAAACCUCUUUUCUUAGGGAAGAACAAAAUGACGGUACCUAAGGAAUCAGCAUCGGCUAACUCCGUG
rnacentral:rRNA from 1 species